AAACAUCCAUCAACUAAUGAAUGGAUAAAAAAUAUGGUAUACCCAACAGUGAGAUAUUAUUAAGCCAUAGAAAGGAAUGAAGUUUCUAUGCUUGCUACAGCAUGAACAUUGAAACCAUUACACUGAGUGAAAGAAGCCAGCGUGGCAGGUAAAGGGAUGCGAGCAAGGAGGAGACAUUGUGAUCUUGACUCCUUUUCCUUUGAGUAGAGGAUAAUUUGUCACAUUUUGGAAGGCAGUGCCUUUGAGCAGCUUCAUGAGCCUAGGAUCUGACUCUCUUAGGAAAGUUCCUUGGAAGAGCCUACAGGUGACAACAGUGUUGAACUUUAGGCAAGCCCUGUGAUACUGGAAAAUUGCAAAGGUUAAGAAAUGUCCCCACCCUUUUGUGUUCUGGGAAACAGCUCACUGCAAAGAACUCCCUUCCCCAUAUGACUUAGAUGAGACUCAUAGGUGCCCCCACUUGUUUACCUAUGACAAGGCCAGACCCAGAGCCUCCAAACUCCCUUUCUUUGUUUUUGUGGUUAGUUUAACUGCCUGUUUCCACUGGUCAGUCGGAACAAAGUGUUCGUUAACCUAACUUUGGUGUAGAGUCUCUCCUUUCCCCAGGUCCUGGCCCACCCUCAGCCUGAGCCAGCAGACAACUCCUCUUUACAGACCUUCCUGAUCAGCCCUCAACCACUGUCUGAUUGUGUCACUCUGAUCAUCCCAGCCCCCAACACCCACUUCUUUCUAACCUUGUUUAUGCCUCUUUAGCAAAGCAAAAUAUUUACUGCCUCAUCUUGAGACACUUGCAGAUUAAGUGGUCAGAACAUUCCCUCUACUGCAAUAAUCCUUUUGAAUAAAGUCUCUCCUAACUAAAUCUGAGGUUUUUUUUUGUUUGGCAGUAAAUUAAUGAAGCCAAAGAUCACGGGAGACCAUCUGCUUGUGUUUACCCAUGAGGCAGUGUGGCAUAGGCGAAUGGGUGCGAGUCUAGCCCUGCUAUUCCUGCCUGUGUAACCCUAGAGAGCCUUUCUAAUUACUCUCUGCCUCUGCUUCCUUACCUGUAAAAUGGGCUAAAUAAUGGUACCUGUGUCAGUUAAUAUUUGUGAAAUGCCUAAUAGAGCCUAUUCCAAACAAUUACUACAUCAGUCUUUUUAAAAAAUAAAACUGUGUCUUUAUUUUAAUUUUCAGAUGUUUCCACUCACAAUAUUGGUAAAUGUAGAGUUUGCCUCUACUGACUGUCAGCUGAACAUCUUGGUUAAGACUCAGACUGCCUGAUUCUUCUCUUCCACUUACAAGCCUUGGGAAAGUCACAUAUAACCAUGUGGAACCUCCACUUCCUCACAUGGAAGCAGGAGAACCAAAUGACAACUCGGAGGAAAUGAUCAGGACUGAGAAGGAGAGGAGAAAAUCCAAGAGGCCAGACCCUCACGUGGACCCUAUUGUCUCUUCCUUCCAACCUCCCAGCCUAUAAACACCUGUGCUAAGCCCAGCUGCCCAGCCCAGGCCCCAUCUGUGGGUGAGGCCUGAGACUUUUCGACCUUGCCUUGGCUGAGCACCGUUAUUACCACAUGCCUAAGACCCGUGCUCCAAUGCAUCUAUCAGGAAUAAAGCUGAUGUCUUAAGCC
rnacentral:lncRNA from 1 species